CACGCACCCGAACUGCUUGGCCUGGUAGUAGGGCAGGUUGGAGAGGCAGGUGUCGUCGAUGUCGAGGACCCAGGCGUCGAGGCCGUCGCCGGCGGCGGGGGCCUGGCUGGCGUAGGCGGCGAUCUGGUCCGCGGCGCUGCCCACGUCCCGGCCGUACUGGCCCCAGGACAUGUAGGCCCAGACGUACCCGACGCAGGGCGCCGGCACCGCGCGCCAGAACUUGGCGUUGUUCGCCUCCACCAUCACCCGCCAGCUCAGGCAGCCGCCGGGGUCGUCCCCGCCCGGCGGCCAGAACCACGGCGCCCCGUCGGCCACCUGGACAGCGGCGAGGAGACCGACGAGCAGGACCGUCACCCACCGCCGCCGCAGACCGAGAGCGGCCAUUGUUGGAGCCACGGCUACUCUCUAGCGCCAAGGAAAGCAGCGGCAAGCUGGUCGAUCGACCACACCAUUUCGUCAAUGAGCGUGCGUGCAUGGAUUUUUAUGGGCGCACGCACGCACGCAAACGCACUGGGAUUAUUCCCGUGCGUGCGUGCAAUGCCACCUUUUGCUUUUGGUGGACAAUGCCCGGUGGGAAAGCCAGCCGCGGUGGGCUAA
rnacentral:rRNA from 1 species